ensembl:lncRNA novel transcript, antisense to ARMC3and MSRB2
CUUUCUCUGUUGCCCAGGCUGGUUUCACACUUCUGACCUCAAGCAAUCUGCCCUCCUCAGCCUGUAACCCUUAAAGCACUGGAAUCACAGGCAUGAGCCACCCCAACUGGCCUUAGCUCAUUUGGCAGAAUGCUGAAGCCUUACUGGUCUGAGGUGUCAGAGGUCAGAGCCUGAGACUGACAGAGGAGCCACAGGUGACCAGCAAACUGCAGAAGCUCUGGGGAGAACUCCAUGGAGUCAGGCUAAAAACAGCAGCAACCAGAAACUGUAAGAACUGAGCAGAGAUACCAGCUGCACCACUAGAGAGACAAAGUGUGUAGCUCACUGCCUAGUACAGCAAAAUAGCCACAAUCCUCAGAAGGACACAACAGAAUCUGGAAUCACUAGAAAGUAUUAUCUACAAUGCUCAUUCUUAACCAUGCAAAGAAGAAACAGGAAAGUGUGAUUCAAAGUCAGAAAAAAGUCAGUCAAUAGAAAUCUACUCUGUUAGGGACAGGUGUUGGUGAAUUAAGUAAUUAGAGACUCUAAAGCAGCUAUGAUAAAUAUGUUCACAGAGGAAAGCUCAAUAGAGAAAUGAAACUUCAAACAUGGAAAUUUAAGACUUGAAAAGUACAAAAACUAGAAAGAAAAAUUUACUAGGUGGACCAAACGGCAGAUUAGAGAUGCCAAAAUUGCAUAAAUUGAACAGAGAUCAAAAGACGUUAUUUAAUCUAAAAAAUUGAAGAAAAAUGAGCAGAGCCUUAGAGUCCUGUAAAAUAUCAAGCAAGAUAACAUAUAUGUAAUUGGGUUCCGGAGGGAGAGAAGGAAUGGAAAAAAAUAUUUGCAUAAAUAAUGACUGAAAAAUUCCAUGAUUGGCAGAAAACACUAAUUUACAGAUCUAAGAAGGUCAAGCACCCCAAGCAGGAUAUAUAAUUAUAUCACUUCCAUGCAGAAGAGAAAUGCAGAAAGCCAAAGAUAAAGAGCAAAGUGUUGAAAGCAGCCAAAGAAAAGUGACACAUCACGUACAGGAAAAUAGUUCAGCUCAAUGGCUGAAUUUUCAUCAGAAAUACUGGCAUUCAGAAGAAAUUUAAAAAUGCUGAAAACAAAACUAGCAGCCAAGAAUUUUGUAUCAAGCAAAAAUGUCUUUUCAAAAUUAAAGGCAAAAGGAAGCAACUUCCAGAUAAAUUUAAAAGACAGAAUUUAUGCCAUUAUAUUUACACUGUAAGAAAUGCUAAAUGAGGUUCUUCAGGUUGAAGGGAAAUGACCCUGAUGACAACAUGGAUCUACAGGAAAAAAUGAAAAGCAUCAGAAAUCAUACAUAUGUGAGUAAAUAUAAAAUACUAAAUAUUGAUAGAUGAAUAUAUGGAUAGGUACUACACAAACACAUAUGAA